rnacentral:rRNA from 1 species
CCUACGGGCGGCAGCAGUGGGGAAUAUUGCACAAUGGGCGAAAGCCUGAUGCAGCAACGCCGCGUGGGCGAUGAAGGCCUUCGGGUCGUAAAGCACUGUCCUCAAGGAAGAUAAUGACGGUACUUGUGGAGGAAGCCACGGCUAACGACGUGCCAGCAGCCGCGGUAAUACGUAGGGGGCUAGCGUUAUCCGGAAUGACUGGGCGUAAAGGGGGCGUAGGUGGUUUCUUAAGUCAGAGGUGAAAGGCUACGGCUCAACCGUAGUAAGCCUUUGAAAAUGGGGAACUUGAGUGCAGGAGAGGAGAGUGGAAUUCCUAGUGUAGCGGUGAAAUGCGUAGAUAUUAGGAGGAACACCAGUUGCGAAGGCGGCUCUCUGGACUGUAACUGACACUGAGGCACGAAAGCGUGGGGAGCAAACAGGAUUAGAUACCCGAGUAGUC